rnacentral:rRNA from 1 species
CCUACGGGAGGCUGCAGUGGGGAAUAUUGGACAAUGGGGGCAACCCUGAUCCAGCCAUGCCGCGUGUGUGAAGAAGGCCCUCGGGUUGUAAAGCACUUUCAGUGAGGAAGAACGCCUGGUGGUUAAUACCCAUCAGGAAAGACAUCACUCACAGAAGAAGCACCGGCUAACUCCGUGCCAGCAGCCGCGGUAAUACGAAGGGUGCGAGCGUUAAUCGGAAUUACUGGGCGUAAAGCGCGCGUAGGUGGCUUGAUAAGCCGGUUGUGAAAGCCCCGGGCUCAACCUGGGAACGGCAUCCGGAACUGUCAAGCUAGAGUGCAGGAGAGGAAGGUAGAAUUCCCGGUGUAGCGGUGAAAUGCGUAGAGAUCGGGAGGAAUACCAGUGGCGAAGGCGGCCUUCUGGACUGACACUGACACUGAGGUGCGAAAGCGUGGGUAGCAAACAGGAUUAGAUACCCCGGUAGUC